rnacentral:misc_RNA from 1 species
GAUGAAGAACGUAGUGAAAUGCGAUAAGUAAUGUGAAUUGCAGAAUUCAGUGAAUCAUCGAAUCUUUGAACGCACAUUGCGCCCGCCAGCAUUCUGGCGGGCAUGCCUGUUCGAGCGUCAUUUCAACCCCUCAGGCCCUAGCGCCUGGCGUCGGAGGCUUUCCCCCCUCACCGGGGAACCUCUCAGAAACAGUGGCGGACCCGCCGCGGCUCCGAGCGCAGUAGUUAAAAAUCGUGUCGCUCUGGAGAUCACCGCGGGGAGCCUCGCCGUUAAACCGGGCCGGUGACCUGGCCCACGCACAAGGUUGACCUCGGAUCAGGUAGGAAUACCCGCUGAACUUAAGCAUAUCAAUAAGCGGAGGA